rnacentral:rRNA from 1 species
UACGUAGGUGACAAGCGUUGUCCGGAUUUACUGGGUGUAAAGGGCGCGUAGGCGGGAUAGCAAGUCAGUCGUGAAAUGCCGAGGCUUAACCUCGGAGCUGCGAUUGAAACUGUUAUUCUUGAGUAUCGGAGAGGAAAGCGGAAUUCCUAGUGUAGCGGUGAAAUGCGUAGAUAUUAGGAGGAACACCAGUGGCGAAGGCGGCUUUCUGGACGACAACUGACGCUGAGGCUCGAAAGCGUGGGGAGCAAACAGG